AUUGAACGCUGGCGGAAUGCUUUACACAUGCAAGUCGAACGGCAGCACGGACUUCGGUCUGGUGGCGAGUGGCGAACGGGUGAGUAAUGUAUCGGAACGUGCCCAGUCGUGGGGGAUAACGUAGUGAAAAUUACGCUAAUACCUCAUACGAUCUAUGGAUGAAAGCGGGGGAUCGCAAGACCUCGCGCGAUUGGCGCGGCCGAUAUCAGAUUAGGUUGUUGGUGGGGUAAAGGCCCCCCAAGCCAACGAUCUGUAGCUGGUCUGAGAGGACGACCAGCCACACUGGAACUGAGACACGGUCCAGACUCCUACGGGAGGCAGCAGUGGGGAAUUUUGGACAAUGGGCGAAAGCCUGAUCCAGCCAUUCCGCGUGCAGGAUGAAGGCCCUCGGGUUGUAAACUGCUUUUGUACAGAACGAAAAGGUUUCUACUAAUACUAGGAGCUCAUGACGGUACUGUAAGAGUAAGCACCGGCUAACUACGUGCCAGCAGCCGCGGUAA
rnacentral:rRNA from 1 species